GACAGAGGUCCCGAGCGUUAGGCGGAAUCACUGGGCUUAAAGCGUGUGUAGGCGGACUUGUAAGUACCUUGUGAAAUCCCACGGCUUAACCGUGGAACUGCUCGGUAUACUGCGAGUCUUGGAGCCACUUAGGGGCUACCGGAACAAAUGGUGGAGCGGUGAAAUGCGUAGAUAUCAUUUGGAACGCCAAUGGUGAAAACAGGUAGCUGGGAGUGUGCUGACGCUGAGACACGAAAGCCAGGGGAGCAAACGGG
rnacentral:rRNA from 1 species